rnacentral:lncRNA from 1 species
CUGCAAUUGUCGCUUAUUAUUAUAAUACGUGUAGGUAUUAUGAUCAGUUUAAACCGUUAUAACAUGCAAACAUCCCCUGCAAGAGGUCUACAGGGGAAAUUUGUGAAAAAGUAGAGAAGAGACUGGGGACUAGUGUGUUGUCAUGACAACCACAUGACCUUCCAAAAAUAUUUAUAUGGGUGCACCCACUAAGUGUACCGGGUUUCAUUGAAUUUUAUAAAAUACUCACUAAGAUAUCAGACUUUCUUGUUAUUGCCAUCAUCUCAAGUCAAACUAGUGACGUCACAACUCAAAGCUGUCUUCUAUACGAUUACAGUUGUGGUGGGAGUUGGGUUUUUUCGUCUAUGGGGAAUACACAUGCUGUGUAUUUGUGGGGAUGGAGUGCUCCCAAAGGUCACACUCAACCCCAUAGACUCACACAAAUCAAUGUAUUAUACAGUGUAUUGUAAAGUAAACAAUGACCAUCACGGGGAUCUACUACCCCUUGGACAACUCUUUCUCAGCCGGCUACAUUUUUCACGACAAGCGACAUUUUGAUUCAAUUGUUUUAUAACGUAAAUAUUUCAGCGCGUAUUCACCCCCCUUUAAAACAAAGAACACCAUUGAAAUCCUAACAAAAUAACCUUUUCAUCGGGGGGUUCAAUGCCGUCAAAACAAAUGCACAAACCGAAACAAUUGUAUAUUUACUCACCGCUUGGCCAAACAUUCUGUAUUUUCAUAUGGAGAAAAAGUUGAAUAUCUUCUAAAGGCAUCUAAACUCUUCAGAAUUCGCCACAAGUUAAUAUGAGUGAAAUAUUCCUUGUAUUCAAGCGCUUUUAUGUAGAAAGUUUCGUUUGAAUACGGCGAGUAGAAAUGUUUAUUUUGAAUUUUUCAAAAUAUCGGGUUUCAUCGGGUUUUUUACUUGCACGCGCGUGCUGCACGUAAAAUUGGCCAAUAAGGAGUAACCCGUAGCCCAAUGCACGUGAAAAUCAUGCUGCAGAUGUAAUUUGACCUAUAGAAUCGAUUGCCGACGUUUUCCGAGCGCUAGGAUGUAAACACGCGAUGUUUUCGCAAAUCUAAAGUGUAUUUCCGGUCGAAAAUAUCCCGCUGACUUCACUAGUAUCACAACAGAUUGAAAUACCGAAAUAAAAUAUGAAAGACUAAUCCUACAAGCUUGAAAAUACCACUUUAAAUAGUGUUUUACAUUCUGGUUCGAAUAAGACUAUAGCGAAAACGAUAUCUUCAAAGGGGCCGAAGUUAUGUUCGGCGAAAGGUAUGGAUAGUUUACAUUUUUCGAGAUAUAAUGAAAUAUGACACCGCAUGACCUCUCAAAAGGUCAUAAAUAGUUAUACAAUUUCACUAAAACUAUAUUUAAAUAAAACUAUCGAUAGGAAUUAGGAGAUAUUGUUUCACUGAAUCGAAUGGAGGUAUUUUCAUCUACAUAGCAUGCACCAAACCGAAGAUAUGAAUCGGCGAAGUCAUAGACCGUGCCAUAGAUCGUGCACGGUCUACGUUUAUAGGGACCGGCUGAGAAAGAGUAAACAAUGACCAUGACGGGGAUCUACUACCCCUUGGACAUUAAAGUAAACAAUGACCAUCACGGGGAUCUACUACCCCUUGGACAUUUAAGAUGCCCAUCUUGGGGAUCUACACUACCCCUUGGGUAAAGUCCAACAUGGGGGAACCAUGACCCCCUCAGGACAUAUAAUUAUAUCAUAAUCAUAUUGCUGCAUGUAAUAGUGAGUCUGUGGGGCGACACUUUGGCCACAGUUUAAAGUAUAAUCGGAGCAAUUCGCCUCGACAACCCUUCUCCCACAACAUUGUGUGUCUCAUAGUUGUUUUCUUAAUUGUCAUAGAAUAUUUGCUUAACGAAUUGGUGCAUUAAAUGAGCGACUAUAACAAUAACAAUAUACAUGACUACGAUAAACAAUUAGUAAAUAUCAGUGUUUCAGUGAGUAUUCUUGCAAUAUUCACCUCAACUUCGGUCAAUAAUUGUUAACUAUAAAUCGCAAUGAGGUUAAAGUAUUUUGAUUUCUCACUUUUUCUUCAGUAUUGACUCAGGUAUAUAAAUAAUGAAAGGUCUUUUAUCUGCUGUUUCAUUGACGAUGAAAGGACUUCAUGUAAGACUAUUUUAAUGUUUUA